AUUGAACGCUGGCGGCAGGCCUAACACAUGCAAGUCGAGCGAGCGGCGGACGGGUGAGUAAUGUCUGGGAAACUGCCUGCUGGCGGGGGAUAACUACUGGCACCGGUCGCUAAUACCGCCUACCCUCAGCUGUGCCCAGAUGGGAUUAGCUAGUAGGGGGGGUAACGGCUCACCUAGGCGACGAUCCCUAGCUGGUCUGAGAGGAUGACCAGCCACACUGGAACUGAGACACGGUCCAGACUCCUACGGGAGGCAGCAGUGGGGAAGAUUGCACAAUGGGCGCAAGCCUGAUGCAGCCAUGCCGCGUGUGUGAAGAAGGCCUUCGGGUUGUAAAGCACUGUCAGCGGGGAGGCGUUACCCGCAGAAGAAGCACCGGCUAACUCCGUGCCAGCAGCCGCGGUAAUAC
rnacentral:rRNA from 1 species